GCCCUAGUUCUAACCCUAAACGAUGCUGACCAGCUAUUCGCCGUCGUUAUUCCCAUGACGUGGCGAGACGCCCCCGGGAAACCUCGAGUCUUUGAGUUCCGGGGGUAGUAUGGUUGCAAAACUGAAACUUAAAGGAAUUGACGGAAGGGCACCACCAGGAGUGGAGCCUGCGGCUUAAUUUGACUCAACACGGGAAACCUCACCAGGCCCGGACACCAGAAGGAUUGACAGAUUAAGAGCUCUUUCUCAAUUUGGUGGGUGGUGGUGCAUGGCCGUUCUUAGUUGGUGGAGUGAUUUGUCUGGUUAAUUCCGGUAACGAACGAGACUCUGGCCUACUAACUAGUGGGUGGGUGUUCCGGUAAGGGGCCCCAUCCGACAAUGUCUUCUUAGAGGGAUGAGCAGCGAGUAUAGCUGCAGGAGAUUGAGCAAUAACAGGUCUGU
rnacentral:rRNA from 1 species